AUUUCCUUCUCCAGGGGAUCUUCCCAACACAGGGAUCCAAGUCAGGUCUCCUGCACUGCGGCAAGAUUUGUUACUGUCUGAGCUACCAGGGAAGUCCCAACAGCUCAGGUGGCCCCGAAGAAGACAACCGCCCUGCGAGGUGAUUUUCACGGUUCCGGGUUUGCAGCAGGCGAAACCGCCUCUCCCAAGGUCACCGUGCAACAAAGGACUCAAGGUAAGCUCCAUGAUGACAGAUGCCUACCUGCCUUCUUCACUUAGUGGCAAGCAUUCCAUAGACCCUUGCUGAAUGCGGGUCUGUUGCCCCCUCAGAGCAACCCUGGGAAAAAGGCACCAUUAUGGCCUAUAUUUCACAGACUAGGACAUAGAGAUACACAAAGACUAAGAAACCUGUCCAAGAUCACAGUGGAGAAACUGAGAUUCAACCCGUGUCCUGACCAGAGCUGGGCUCUUAAACCACUAUAAGAACUACCAUGUCUUAAGCAGCAACCUUCCUUCCCAGCAAGAAACUGAAUCACUCACCUAAGAAUGUCAAUUAUAUCUGCCUUACUGCCACUUAAUCCGAAGCUUAUUUUUUCCCAGAUAACUAUUAAAAAUCCAGAACCAAUACCCACGUGGCCCACCUGUGGUAAUUGUGGCAAUUUCUUUCCUAUUUAAAAACUGUACCAUCCACAACAGAAAGCUACCUCCAAAGUCCCAAAGCAGGUUAAAGAU